GGUCCCGCCUGCCCAGUGACAAUAUAGUUCAACGGCCGCGGUAUUUUGACCGUGCAAAGGUAGCGUAAUCACUUGUCUUUUAAAUGAAGACCUGUAUGAAUGGCAUAACGAGGGCUUAACUGUCUCCUUCCCCCAGUCAAUGAAAUUGAUUUCCCCGUGCAGAAGCGGGGAUGAGACCAUAAGACGAGAAGACCCUAUGGAGCUUUAGACGCAAAGACAGAUCAUGUUAAAUACACCUAGCUACGGGCCCGAACUAAGUGAAACCAGUCUUGAUGUCUUCGGUUGGGGCGACCAUGGGGAACACAAAACCCCCACGUGGAAAAGGAAUAUACCCCUAUCUUUCUCUCCUCCUACAAGCUAGAGCGACAGCUCUAAUUAGCAGAAAUUCUGACCAAACUGAUCCGGCAAUGCCGAUCAACGAAUUAAGUUACCCUAGGGAUAACAGCGCAAUCCCCUUUUAGAGCCCAUAUCGACAAGGGGGUUUACGACCUCGAUGUUGGAUCAGGACAUCCUAAUGGUGCAGCCGCUAU
rnacentral:rRNA from 1 species